rnacentral:rRNA from 1 species
GACGAACGCUGGCGGCGUGCUUAACACAUGCAAGUCGAACGAAGUGGCGAACGGGUGAGUAACGCGUAAUCAACCUGCUCUUCAGAGGGGGACAACAGUUGGAAACGACUGCUAAUACCCCAUACUGAUUGCGUGGUUUGCGUCUGAUUAGCUAGUUGGAGGGGUAACGGCCCACCAAGGCGAUGAUCAGUAGGCGGUCUGAGAGGAUGAACGGCCAAAUUGGGACUGAGACACGGGCCAGACUCCGAAGGGAGGCAGCAGGGGGGAAUCUUCGGAAAUGGAGGAAAGUCUGACGGAGCAACGCCGCGGGAGUGAUGACGGCCUUCGGGUUGUAAAGCUCUGUUAAUCGGGACGCGGUACCGGAAUAGAAAGCCACGGCUAACUACGUGCCAGCAGCCGCGGUAAUUC